rnacentral:rRNA from 1 species
AUUGAACGCUGGCGACAGGCCUAACACAUGCAAGUCGAACGGUAACAGGGAUCAGCUUGCUGAUUCGCUGACGAGUGGUGGACGGGUGAGUAAUGUCUGGGAAACUGCCUGAUGGAGGGGGAUAACUACUGGAAACGGUAGCUAAUACCGCAUAACGUCGCAAGACCAAAGAGGGGGACCUUCGGGCCUCUUGCCAUCGGAUGUGCCCAGAUGGGAUUAGCUAGUAGGUGGGGUAACGGCUCACCUAGGCGACGAUCCCUAGCUGGUCUGAGAGGAUGACCAGCCACACUGGAACUGAGACACGGUCCAGACUCCUACGGGAGGCAGCAGUGGGGAAUAUUGCACAAUGGGCGCAAGCCUGAUGCAGCCAUGCCGCGUGUAUGAAGAAGGCCUUCGGGUUGUAAAGUACUUUCAGCGGGGAGGAAGGGAGUAAAGUUAAUACCUUUGCUCAUUGACGUUACCCGCAGAAGAAGCACCGGCUAACUCCGUG